GCGCAGCAGGCGAGAAACCUCCGCAAUGCGGGAAACCGCGACGGGGGACCCCGAGUGCCGUGGCAACGCCACGGCUUUUCCGGAGUGUAAAAAGCUCCGGGAAUAAGGGCUGGGCAAGGCCGGUGGCAGCCGCCGCGGUAAUACCGGCGGCCCGAGUGGUGGCCGCUAUUAUUGGGCCUAAAGCGUCCGUAGCCGGGCCCGUAAGUCCCUGGCGAAAUCCCACGGCUCAACCGUGGGGCUUGCUGGGGAUACUGCGGGUCUUGGGACCGGGAGAGGCGGGGGGUACCCCUGGGGUAGGGGUGAAAUCCUAUAAUCCCAGGGGGACCGCCAGUGGCGAAGGCGCCCCGCUGGAACGGGUCCGACGGUGAGGGACGAAGGCCAGGGGAGCAAACCGGAUUAGAUACCCCGGUAGU
rnacentral:rRNA from 1 species